GAUAAAGUAGUCGGAGGAGAUGAUUCUACUGCUGCCUCCACAGGGAUAGUCUCCCCCGCAUCCCUACAUCAAAGUAGUCAUUAUACGACUUCAAGAGAACUCAAAAAUAUGCACCAGGGAUAAACAAACUCACCGAGUUGAGCGUGGCGGCAGUCGCACACGUUUCUUCUCGGCAACAGUUGGCCAAGUACUCAGCGCCGCAGGAACAGCUGUCGGCGCUGUCUUCUCG
rnacentral:lncRNA from 1 species